rnacentral:rRNA from 1 species
AUUGAACGCUGGCGGCAGGCCUAACACAUGCAAGUCGAGCGAGUGGCGGACGGGUGAGUAAUGUCUGGGGACCUGCCUGAUAGAGGGGGCUAACUCCUGGAACCGGUGGCUAAUACCGCAUACUAUCGGAUGUACCCAGAUGGGAUUUGCUAGUGGGUGGGGUAAAGGCUCACCUAGGCGCCGAGCCCUAGCUGGUCUGCGAGGAUGACCAGCCAAACUGGGACUGAGACACGGCCCAGACUCCUACGGGAGGCAGCAGUGGGGAAUAUUGCACAAUGGGCGCAAGCCUGAUGCAGCCAUGCCGCGUGUAUGAAGAAGGCCUUAGGGUUGUAAAGUACUUUCAGCGGGGAGGCGUUACCCGCAGAAGAAGCACCGGCUAACUCCGUGCCAGCAGCCGCGGUAAUUC